rnacentral:rRNA from 1 species
GACGAACGCUGGCGGCGUGCUUAACACAUGCAAGUCGAACGGAAAGGCCCUGCUUUUGUGGGGUGCUCGAGUGGCGAACGGGUGAGUAACACGUGAGUAACCUGCCCUUGACUUUGGGAUAACUUCAGGAAACUGGGGCUAAUACCGGAUAGGAGCUCCUGCUGCAUGGUGGGGGUUGGAAAGUUUCGGUGGUUGGGGAUGGACUCGCGGCUUAUCAGCUUGUUGGUGGGGUAGUGGCUUACCAAGGCGUUGACGGGUAGCCGGCCUGAGAGGGUGACCGGCGACAUUCGGACCGAGAUACGGCCCAGAGUCCUACGGGAGGCAGCAGUGGGGAAUAGUGCACAAUGGGCGGAAGCCGGAUGCAGCAACGCCGCGUGCGGGAUGACGGCCUUCGGGUUGUAAACCGCUUUCGCCUGUGACGAAGCGUGAGUGACGGUAAUGGGUAAAGAAGCACCGGCUAACUACGUG